rnacentral:lncRNA from 1 species
UAUAUAUAUAUAUAUAUAUAUAUAUUACGGAUUACAAAUGUGUCGAGGUUUGUGAUUGGAUAACAACACAGAGAUGUCAGUAUAUAUUCAGGAAACUGCCGGGGUAUAUACAACGUUUUUAUCCCCAAUUGGAACCUCAAAAACGUCAUCAUAACACCGGUUACUAUGUGACGUAGUCAAAAGCUAUCAGACUGUCAGAGGCUCACAGAGGGAAAAUAAUGACGUGCUUAAGUCAAUAAUACAUUUUUGAUACAAAAUCACGCAUUUUACACUUUAAUACUUAAAUUUAAUGUUAAAAGUUUUAUUAUAAAUUAUUACAUACACGAU